CAUGGAAUCUGCAUCUUUUCUCUUAAACUUGCCCCCAAAUUUUGUUUGAAGUGAAAACAUUGCUUUUCAGUACAGUUUUGCCGUACGAGAAAGCCAAAAAGGACACCCAAAGGCACCAAAACCGUGGGUGUAAAUCAAAUCUCCUCUAGCCAUCGCAAUGCUCGUUUGGCUUCGUCCCGUGUAGGAUUCUCUGCGCACCAUCCAAACAGCAACCAACGGCCUCGUACCCACAUCAAAAAAGAGUUUUACUAUUUAUUUGUAGCUGGCUGAGCUCCGAUUUUUUUGGAACCUGGAAGGUGUACCUCCGAUAACCCGCAGGAUGCCCAAAACGUUGCUGGGCAGCAAUCAUGACCAGGACGAAGUUGAAGGUGAUCACGUCGACACGGAGCUAUUCCAUCGGUUUGGUCGUUUUGUUUUCAUCGUCUGCAUCGCAACAGGAAACGUACGUGUGGAAGAGGACGAGUGAUCAGCCACGUUUAACUGAAUUGUUGUACAAGAAGGAAACGAGCACGAUCAUUCAGCAUGGCACUAGGAACCCCUAAGGACUCUGAUGUGUGGAAUGUGUAUGGAUGUUAAAAAUAUGUCUCUAUAAGCUUAUUAUCGGCGAACUCGAAGUCCUGUCAAAUUUUCCAGCCUUUAUUAUAUGUCAGCCAAAUAGGAAGUGAUAAUGAUCUACAACAAAACACUCAAGUAAAUGAAGAAAUUAUGAAAUUAAAAAUUCUUAUGAUUGAGGAACAGACCUGUGGUCAUGGGGGGUUGCGGUUAGUCUUCGACUAACAAACUAUAACGGGAUGGUUUUUAUUUCAAGAUACUACAUUUUGUACAAAAAUA